rnacentral:lncRNA from 1 species
UAUGAAAACAGUAGUCUAGAAUGUUCCAACCAAGGUGCUAACAAUCUACGUAGUGGAUGAAAACUAGCAUAAAAAAGAGGGUUGUACAGAGGUUCAACAUAUAAUAUGCUUGAUGUGAGCACACACUACCGACUGAUGGCGCGACCCUGGUGGGAAGGACAACUAGGAUAAAAGCAUGCAACUCCGGGACAAAAUUCAUAAUACAGGAGUUAUGCAAAACAUGAGAGGUUGGUGCAUGUUGCAGAAAAAGAAUUUUCAAUGUGAUCUUCUGACCAUUUCAAUGAAUUGAUAUUCAUUUUAUGGACGAAGUUUACCAAUAUUUGUCAAUUAAUGAGCAUGGAAGUUGUUAGAAGCAUUUCAGCAUCAAAUGAAACGGUUUUUCAAAACGUUAUGUUAGGAGAUAAAAUAGGUUGCUCUCCACCUCUGCAUGCAACUUAGAACCUGCAAAGUAGCUCCUCUAUUGCUAUUUAAUAAAGAGGGAAAACUUUUGGUCAGCCUCUCGUGUAAUUAAAAAGAAGCUACAAAAAAUAUGGUGGUAGAAGUAGUAACCAAAGAUUGAGUUCAUUCAACCUUCAAGGCUACCUAAAGUCGUCCUAGUAAUGUUUCAAAGCUAACAAAAUUAUUCUCUACCAUUUCUAAGAAUAAAUACCCUUCUCUCAGAAAAAAUGGAAUAGAGGAGGUGGGUGCAGCAGAAAACCUUGAUGCAUAAAGAAUUAGUGACAAUCAUAUACCAAAAAAAAGAACAGAUUAUUGUUUAUUGGCUUUGCAAUAAGACGCUUCAAGCUCACAAAUACCCCUAUUCCCUCUAAUUCAUUAGAAAAUAUCUUAAAUUGCAUAGCAGGCUAUUUCUAGAUUUAUAAGUGAGUAGCACACAACCAAUCUUGAGAGAUUUAUGCCAACAAAUUAAAAGUAUCGUUUGUUUUUUGUGUCGUCCAAGAGAUCAUGUUACUUGAGCAUGCUGAUACCUAGGGUCCGUUGGCGGUUGGAGAGC